UACGAAGGGGGCUAGCGUUGUUCGGAAUUACUGGGCGUAAAGCGUAUGCAGGCGGAUCGUUAAGUCGGGGGUGAAAUCCCGAGGCUCAACCUCGGAACUGCCUUCGAUACUGGCGACCUUCGAGUCCGGGAGAGGUGAGUGGAACUCCGAGUGUAGAGGUGAAAUUCGUAGAUAUUCGGAAGAACACCAUUGGCGAAGGCGGCUCACUGGCCCGGUACUGACGCUGAGAUACGAAAGCGUGGGGAGCAAACAGG
rnacentral:rRNA from 1 species